rnacentral:rRNA from 1 species
AUUGAACGCUGGCGGCAUGCCUUACACAUGCAAGUCGAACGGUAACGCGGGGCAACCUGGCGACGAGUGGCGAACGGGUGAGUAAUGUAUCGGAACGUGCCCAGUUGUGGGGGAUAACUGCUCGAAAGAGCAGCUAAUACCGCAUACGACCUGAGGGUGAAAGCGGGGGAUCGCAAGACCUCGCGCAAUUGGAGCGGCCGAUAUCAGAUUAGGUAGUUGGUGGGGUAAAGGCCCACCAAGCCAACGAUCUGUAGCUGGUCUGAGAGGACGACCAGCCACACUGGGACUGAGACACGGCCCAGACUCCUACGGGAGGCAGCAGUGGGGAAUUUUGGACAAUGGACGCAAGUCUGAUCCAGCCAUGCCGCGUGCGGGAAGAAGGCCUUCGGGUUGUAAACCGCUUUUGUCAGGGAAGAAACGCUCUGGGUUAAUACCUCGGGGUAAUGACGGUACCUGAAGAAUAAGCACCGGCUAACUACGUGCCAGCCGCCGCCGUAAGAC